rnacentral:rRNA from 1 species
GAUGAACGCUAGCGGCAGGCCUAACACAUGCAAGUCGAACGGUAGAAGUUAGCAAUAACUUCGAGAGUGGCGCACGGGUGCGUAACACGUAUGCAACCUACCCUUAACUGGGAAAUAGCCCGGAGAAAUUCGGAUUUAUGUCCCAUAGUAAAUUUGAAAAGCAUUUUUUGGAUUUUAAAACUACGGUGGUUAAGGAUGGGCAUGCGUUCUAUUAGCUAGAUGGUAAGGUAACGGCUUACCAUGGCUACGAUAGAUAGGGGGCCUGAGAGGGUUAUCCCCCACACUGGUACUGAGACACGGACCAGACUCCUACGGGAGGCAGCAGUGAGGAAUAUUGGACAAUGGUCGGAAGACUGAUCCAGCCAUGCCGCGUGCAGGAAGACGGCCCUAUGGGUUGUAAACUGCUUUUAUUAAGGAAGAAACCCCUCUUCGUGAAGAGGGCUGACGGUACUUUUUGAAUAAGCACCGGCUAACUCCGUGCCAGCCGCCGCGGUAAGAC